GACGAACGCUGGCGGCGCGCCUAACACAUGCAAGUCGAACGAGCGAGAGAGAGCUUGCUUUCUCGAGCGAGUGGCGAACGGGUGAGUAACGCGUGAGGAACCUGCCUCAAAGAGGGGGACAACAGUUGGAAACGACGGCUAAUACCGCAUAAGCCCACGACCCCGCCUCGGGUGGGGGGAAAAGGAGCAAUCGGCUUUGAGAUGGCCGCGCGUCCGAUUAGCUAGUUGGUGAGGUAACGGCCCACCAAGGCGACGAUCGGUAGCCGGACUGAGAGGUUGAACGGCCACAUUGGGACUGAGACACGGCCCAGACUCCUACGGGAGGCAGCAGUGGGGAAUAUUGCACAAUGGGGGAAACCCUGAUGCAGCGACGCCGCGUGGAGGAAGAAGGUCUUCGGAUUGUAAACUCCUGUUGUUGAGGAAGAUAAUGACGGUACUCAACAAGGAAGUGACGGCUAACUACGUG
rnacentral:rRNA from 1 species